GCUGGAACUUAUCUGCUGGACUCUCAGAGGCCUACAAAGGAACUCCUCUCUGGGGAUGAAGACCAAAAUCAACAUUCUGUGAGGGAACUUAAAAUAGCAACAAAUGUGACUCCCAGAAAAUGCAAAGUAGUUUCUGCAUCUUGACCCCUCGAGUUUGCAAAAAUUGCAGUGCCAGGUCUGGGUGGCAACUACCAUGCCUUGUGAUGCAGACUUUGGCCUAGACCUCAAGGCAGCUUUUCCAGGCCCUUUCAGAGGAGUAGGACCUAACAAAGUGCAGGACUGCAUCUGAAAACAUCUUCCCUGAGAGUCGGGUGAGGAAGAAAUAAGUGGAGCAAGAGAACAAGAACAGCGGUAGAGUGUCCUCCUCUGCUUCGGCACAACUGCAUCCGUCACCUGCCGCUGCCAUUACACACUUAGGAACUGAAUAAACCCACUACACGGCAUUGGAAACGGCCUUAUCCACAGCUGAUGGAUAAACACAGCUCUUUCUUCACCUUUUCGGAAGCCUUUUACUAUCAAUACCAUCUUUCAGAUGUGUCUUGGAGCUUCAGACCAAUGUAUUCAACUACCUCCUUAACAAUGUCCCCUCAGCCAUACUGAAGGCAACUGUAACUUCACAAGUCAAAGAUGGCACUCGGAAUCCGCUCCCUGACUUGUCAUCAUGCACUCCUCAAU